rfam:Burkholderiales bacterium RIFOXYC12_FTLL_65_23 rifoxyc3_full_scaffold_25, whole genome shotgun sequence.
UCGCAUCCGCCAACCGGUCCAGCCGUGUCGCGGAAGGUUUUUUUACCAGCUAAUGUUUCCCCGAGGGAAACGGAGGUCAGCG